AAGAGUUGGAGAAGAGAAUGAAAAUGCAGCAGGAAGUGGUGGAGAUGCGGAAAAAGAAUGAAGAAUACAAGAAACUUGCUCUUGCAGGAGCAGGGCAACCUGUGAAGAAAUCAGUGAGCCAAGUAACUAAAUCAGUUGACUUCCACUUCCGCACAGAUGAGCGAGUCAAACAGCACCCUAAGAACCAGGAGGAGUAUAAGGAAGUAAACUUUGUAUCUGAACUUCGAAAGCAUCCUUCAUCUCCUGCUCAUGUGCUUAAGGGAUGUACCAUUACAAAGCCUUUUAACCUCUCCCAAGGAAAGAAGAGAACAUUUGAUGAAGCAGCUUCUACAUAUGUGC
rnacentral:lncRNA from 1 species